UUCCCACGGGAGGCCAGCACAGAAAAAAAUGUAUGAAAUUGUAUGAAAUGUAUGCAUUCACUACUGUAAGUCGCUCUGGAUAAGAGCGUCUGCUAAAAUGACUAAAAUGUAAGGUCAACAUGCAGGGAAACAUCUAUACAUUAGUGAAGGACUGGUCAACAUGCAGGGAAACAUCCAUAUAGUAGUGAAGGUCAACAUGCAGGGAAACAUCUAUACAGUAGUGAAGGUCAACAUGCAUGGAAACAUCUAUACAGUAGUGAAGAUCAACAUGCAGCGAAACAUCUAUACAUGAUUGAAGGUCAACAUGCAGGGAAACAUCUAUACCGUAGUGAAGGUCAACAUGCAGGGAAACAUCUAUACAGUAGUGAAGGUCAACAUGCAUGGAAACAUCUAUACAGUAGUGAAGGUCAACAUGCAGGGAAACAUCUAUACAGUAGUGAAGGUCAACAUGCAGGGAAACAUCCAUAUAGUAGUGAAGGUCAACAUGCAGGGAAACAGCUAUACAGUAGUGAAGAUCAACGUGCAGGGAAACAUCCAUAUAGUAGUGAAGGUCAGCAUGCAGGGAAACAUCUAUACAGUAGUGAAGGUCAACAUGCAGGGAAACAUCCAUAUAGUAGUGAAGGUCAACAUGCAGGGAAACAUCCAUAUAGUAGUGACAGG
rnacentral:lncRNA from 1 species